CGUUCCACUUUCGAUCAUGAAAGAAUCUACGUAUAAUUUAUUAAUUUGACCGUUAAUUAACUAGGCAAGUCAGUUAAGAACACAUUUUUAUUUUCAAUACUGGUCUAGGAACAGUGGGUAAACUGCCUUGUUCAGGGGCAGAACAAGGAUCGGAUAGUGUCGAGCAGAGUAGGGUAAGUUAAGGUGGGGUAGGUUAAGGUAGGGGAUAUAUCUGGAUAGUGUAGCGCAGAGUAGGGUAGGUUAAGGUGGCGUAGAUUAAGGUGGGGUAGGUUAAGGUAGGGGAUAUAUCUGGAUAGUGUAGAGUAGGGUAGGUUAAGAUAGGGGUUAUAUCUGGAUAGUGUAGCGCAGAGUAGGGUAGGUUAAGGUGGGGUAGGUUAAGGUGGGGUAGGUUAAGGUAGGGGUUAUAUCUGGAUAGUGUAGAGUAGGGUAGGUUAAGGUAGGGGUUAUAUCUGGAUAGUGUAGCGCAGAGUAGGGUAGGUUAAGGUGGCGUAGAUUAAGGUGGGGUAGGUUAAGGUAGGGGUUAUAUCUGGAUAGUGUAGAGUAGGGUAGGUUAAGGUAGGGGUUAUAUCUGGAUAGUGUAGCGCAGAGUAGGGUAGGUUAAGGUGGCGUAGAUUAAGGUGGGGUAGGUUAAGGUAGGGGGUAAUAUCUGGAUAGGGUAGAGCAGAGUAGGGUAGGUUAAGAUGGGGUAGGUUAAGGUAGGGUAGGGUUAAGGUAGGGUAGGCUAAGGUAGGGGUUAUAUCUGGAUAGUGUAGAGCAGAGUAGGGUAGGUUAAGGUAGGGUAGGUUAAGGUAGGGGAUAUAAAUGGAUAGUGUAGGUUAAGGUAGGGUAGGGUAGGUUAAGGUAGGGAGUUAUAUCUUGAUAGUGUAGAGCAGGGUAGGUUAAGGUAGGGUAGGUUAAGGUACUGUAGGGUAGGUUAAGGUAGGGUAGGGUAGGUUAAGGUAGGGUAGGUUAAGGUAGGGGUUAUAUCUGGAUAGUGUAGGUUAGGGUAAGUUAAGGUAGGAUAGGUUAGGGUAGGUUAAGGUAGGGGUUAUAUUUGUAUAGUGUAGGUUAGGGUAGGUUAAGGUGGGGUAGGUUAAGGUGGGGUAGGUUAAGGUAGGGUAGGUUAAGGUAGGGGAUUAUAUCUUGAUAGUGUAGAGCAGGGUAGGUUAAGGUAGGGUAGGUUAGGUUAAGGUAGGUUAAGGUAGGGUAGGUUAAGGUAGGGUAGGUUAAGGUAG